GUAAUACCUGCCCAGUGAUUAUUUUAACGGCCGCAGUACUUUGACUGUGCUAAGGUAGCAUAAUAAAUUGGCUUUUAAUUGGAGUCUAGAAUGAACGGAUAAAUGAAUAAAAUCUUUUUCAAUUUAAAUUUUAAGAAGUUACUUAAAAGGUGAAAAUUCCUUUAAUAAUUUAAAUAGACGAGAAGACCCUAGGAGUUUUUUAUUUUGUUGGGGCGACAUUACAGCAAACUAUCAAACCUGUAAUAAUAAAAAGUAAUUCAACAAAUUUAUUUAAAAAAUUUAAACUACCCUAGGGAUAACAGCAUAAUUUAACUUUUUAAGUUUGUGACCUCGAUGUUGGAUUAGGAAAAUUUAAUAUUAACUGUAUUAAAGUUUUGUUCUGUUCGAACAAUAUUCUCCUACAUGAUCUGAUUUCAAACCGGA
rnacentral:rRNA from 1 species